GGCCUUGCCAGGAUGUUACUCAAGCCUGGAGAUAACACAGUGACAGCAGUAGCUGGCUCUUUCGGAUACAUUGCACCAGAGUAUGCGCGAAAAACUAGAGUGACAGAGAAAAUUGAUGUGUAUAGCUUUGGAGUCAUACUUUUGGAACUGGUGACUGGAAAAGAAGCCAAUCUUGGAGAUGAAGAUUCAUGUCUUGCAGACUGGGCAUGGCGUCACCUUCAAAAAGGGAAACCGAUGGCUGAUGCAUUAGAUGAGGACAUCAAAGAAACGCGAUACUUGGAAGAAAUCUUCAUUGUGUUUAAGCUUGGAAUCUUUUGCACCAGCACAUUUCCUUCAUCAAGGCCAACAAUGAAG
rnacentral:misc_RNA from 1 species